rnacentral:lncRNA from 10 species
GUUCUCUUUCCUCAGCGCUUUGUUAAACAAAUUCUUGGAGAGGGCGAGAGUGGUGACUAAAGAGAGGAGCCUUUCCUCCCCUUUUGCCUGCGCUCCGGCGCGCGGAGAGAGGGAGGUAGGGAGAGAGACAAACACAGAGCUAGAGAAAUUGAAAGAGAAACAUUCUCGAAGGCAAAGAGUUGAAAGGUGAAUCUACUAAGAAAAGAAUAACAGAGUGCAAUUAGCCAUGGAACUACAUCUCCAUCUGCCUCCUUUAAAGGAUGAGUCCUUUAAAGAGCCUUUGGAAGGAAUUGGGCCAUGAGAAGAGCCCUCAUGAAUGGGAUUAGUUCCCUUAUAAGAAGAGACACCAAGGAAGUGAUCUUUCUCUGCCCUCUGCUAUGUGAAGACAAGGUCAUCUGCAGUUUUUUGUUGUUGUUGAUGAUCUUCCUGUCAUAGACAAUGCUGUAACAAACAGACUAGAGAUAAUAAGCUCACUUUACCUCAGGACCUUUGCAGCAGCUCUGCCCUGUGCUUAGAUUGAUCUGUCACGAAACCUUAAAGUCUGGCUGAUUCUCAUUCUUCAGAUU